rnacentral:ncRNA from 1 species
GUGAAGUUUUAUUCUUGCUUUUUCAUUCAAUAUUUGUUUGUUCUAUAUGUAAGUUUGUGCGUGUUUUUACUGUGAUUCUAGAUGAAUUAUGGAUAUAGUGGUUGAUUCUCAUUAGUUAUUAUUGAUUGUUCAAGUAUUCUUGUAUUUAGUAAUGUAUUUUAGUCUCGGUUAAAUUUUGUGCCAGCAGCCGCGGUUAUACCUUGGAGACGUUUGAAUGUGUUUGGCAUUUAGGUAGUUAUAUUAUUUAUUUUGGUUGAUUUUAUUUUGUUUGUUGUUAGGUGAAAUUUUUAUUGUUUUUAAUUUUCUUAUUUUUAUUUGGAAGCUAUGAAAUUCUUUUUUUAAACUAGGAUUAGAUACCCUAUUAUUUUAGAGUGUUAAGUUGUUUUAUUGUGCCUGAGUAGUAUUAGUUAUGUUCUUGAAACUUAAAGAAUUUGGCGGUAUCUCAUUCCGUCCAGAGGAAUCUGUCUCGUUAUCGAUAGUCCACGUUGGACCUUACUUAGUUGCCUCGGUUUGUAUACCGCCGUUUAUUGAUUAUCUUUUUAGGGUUUAGUUAAUUUUCUAGUUUUUUUAUUUCGAGUUAUUUCAGGUCAAGGUGCAGCUUGUUUCUAAGUGAAUGAUGGAUUACAUUGUUAUUUGUUGUUGUAGAUUAUUGAUUUUAAUAUUGGUAUGAAAUUGGAUUUGGUUGUAAUAAUUUGUAGAUUGUUAUUAUGAUAAGUGGUUCUGGGAUAUGUACACAUCGCCCGUCGCUCUCGUUUUAUUAUUAAUGAGAUAAGUCGUAACAAAGUGGUUGUACCGGAAGGUGCAGCUGGAUUGUG